rnacentral:rRNA from 1 species
UACGUAGGGGGCGAGCGUUGUCCGGAUUUAUUGGGCGUAAAGAGCUCGUAGGCGGUUCGGUAAGUCGGAUGUGAAAUCUCCACGCCCAACGUGGAGGGGCCAUUCGAUACUGCCGUGACUCGAGUCCGGUAGGGGAGUGUGGAAUUCCCGGUGUAGCGGUGAAAUGCGCAGAGAUCGGGAGGAACACCCGUAGCGAAGGCGGCACUCUGGGCCGGUACUGACGCUGAGGAGCGAAAGCGUGGGGAGCGAACAGG